ensembl:lncRNA
CCUCACCUCACCUCAGUCUCCACCUCACCUCAGCCCAGCCUGCUAUCUGUCUCUAACUCUACCUGUCUCCACCUCACUUCAGCCCAGCCUGCUAUCUGUCUCUAACUCUGCCUGUCUCCACCUCACCUCAGCCCAGCCUGCACCCAACUCACCUGAGUUAGGGUUAUACCCAUGGGUUAUACCCAUAGCAUAUCAUCCAUAAGAGGUUAUAACCAUAGCAUAUCAUCCAUAAGAGGUUAUAACCAUAGCAUAUCAUGUAGAACAGGUUAUAACCAUAGCCUUUAAUCCAUAACAGGUGUUGAAGGCCACAUUCAUUGGGUGGUUGGGUGCUCCAACCCUUUUAAUGGCACAGUGAUCUCUCAUUAGUAAAACCCAAUAUCCCAUUAUCUCACAGACACACCGGCUCUCUCGUCAGCACAUUUGGCUAAAUGAAGGUCACCUUGAGAGGAGUCCCAAAAGGGUACCCUGUUCCCUAUGGGGCCCUGGUCAAAAGUAGUACACUACAUAGGGAAUAGGGUGUAAUUUGGGACUCAAGCCUUGAAUCCCUCUAUGUUUACAACCAGUACACAGAGGCCCUUUAUUGUCCAGUCCUGACUGGGAAAAGUCUCAGAGCACAGCUAGCUAUCGCAAACUAUUUGGUCUUUCAAAUUUCGACUAACUUUCAACUUCAAAUUUGACUUGUUAUUCAAAUAUAUGGACAAUGUAGACAGUUUGUCUAUGUCAUUUCGCAGCUCAAAGUUACUGUGGAUGUGUUCCUUUUCUGAGAGGAAGUGCUACCCUGUACAGUGUCCUAACUAGGAGUAACGCCUUGUGACUCUAUCCUAAUAUGGAUACCGUAAUCCUGAAGUGGCUGAUGGGAAAAUGACAACAGGAAGAGGCUAUUCAAUGGGACAGACACCUCUCAGACAGAAAUUGAGUAAAAAGACUUGAAUACGUUUUCCUAUUUGUUUUUUGUCUUAAGCUAAACAAAAAUUUCCAGAAUGAUGAAAUUGUUUUUCAUAAAUUAAAUAAAAGUAAGAGUAAUGCUGUAAAUAAUAUAUUAAAUGUUAUCAUAUAAAGUUCCCGCGUUGGACUAGUAACCGAAAGGUUGCAAGUUCGAAUCCCCGAGCUGACAAGGUACAAAUCUGUCGUUCUGCCCCUGAACAGGCAGUUAACCCACUGUUCCUAGGCCGUCAUUGAAAAUAAGAAUUUGUUCUUAACUGACUUGCCAAGUGAAAUAAAGGUUAAAAAAAAUAGUUUACUAGCAAUUUGUCCUUCAAUUGCUCUAUGGAACAGUACAAUGCAAUAAAAUAAAUCAAAAGCAUUGGUUGUAUCUUAAAUGGUAUCCUAUUCUAUAUAUAUAUAGAGCACUACUUUAUGACCAGGGCUCCAGCCAAAUGUAGUGUACUACAUAGGGAACAUAAUGCCAUUUGGGACUCAAGCCUUUUUUCCAUGUAGUCUUGCUGCAGCCAUCCUUUCUGUUCAUGGUAAAAAUAUCCACUAGAAAAAGAUCGAGCCAUGUUUCUGUUCGCCUGACGGUCUUCCAGAGGAGAAGACCGUGUCGAUAGAAUGUCAUAGAUCAUGUGUUACCCUGCGUUUAGGGCAAAGAGAGGGGAAAAAGAGAGAGAGAGCACAUUUUACAUUUUCACACAGAUCUCCAUACAAAUAAAGAGAUCAACAAAGAGAAAUACUAAGAACAAAAGGUGAAAUGUAUAGGCACAUACAACGUCUUUUUCUCAACAACGUAAAACAAACAAACAAAGUAUUUUAAUUAAAGGGCAAACGGAUAAAAAAAGAAAAAUCUAAAACAUUACGUACAAGAUGAGCACACGUGAAGGUUUGUUUUGUUUUGUGACGAGUCGGGCUGAUCUCUGAAUCUUUAACGG